AGGUUAUGUCCUUUACCCUAAACCUUGUUUGUUUUCCCAGUUAAAUCAGGUCAUGUGAGAAGCACAUGAGGGUAUAUUGGUCUUUACCUUAAUAAAAACCCUAAACUCCACCAUCAUCUUCUCCAUCUUUCAAUCACCUGCACAUCAACAUACCCCCUUCUUCUCUCUAUCUAACAAUCCUACCACCACCACAACCUGGCAUAUUCAAGAGAGAGUGAGAGAGAGAGAGAGAGAUCGAGCAGAAGAGGAGGCAGGAAAGAGAGAGAGAGAACCGGCGGAGCCGGUGCCGUCGUCUACGGCGGCGGUGGUUCCAGCGACCCUCUCGAGUCACAGCAGUCGUGGGUUCAGGAAUUUUCUCCGGUUUGAUGGUUGAUGGGGUCGGGCAUCAUUCUGAGUUUGGGUGUCACGGCACGGGUCAGACUCGGUUUGGUUCGAGUUCAGUCGACACCGGGUUAACAUGGUCGUCUCUAUUCCGAUUCAUUACAACCCAGUUUCAGUUUGGGUUCGGGUCCAGUCAAAGUAGCCAACCGACUCAGUUUCAUUUUCGGUUCAGAUUCGGUGUCGGGUCAACAUCAGUCAAACAGUCAACAAGGGUGGGUCGUGGUGGCGGUGGUGAUGGCGGCGACAGGUGGGUCGUGGUGGCGGUGGUGGCGGCAGGUAGGUUGUGAUGGUGGUAGGAUUGUUAGAUCUCAAUAAACCACUUUGUUGCCCUAAUUUUGGUGAGUUGUAAGAAAUUGGGGUUUUUUUGUUCAUGGGUUAUUGAUGAUAAUGUUGAUGAUAAUCUGGGUUUUGAAGUUUUGAAUAUCCGGGUUUUGAAGUUUUGAAUAUCUGGGUUUUGAAGUUUUGAAUAUUUUUUUCUUUGUGUUUUGAAGAUCUGGGUUUUGUUUGAAGUUUUGAAGAUAUAAUGUGCAGAUUAUGAAGCUUAUAGUUAAGAGAAAGAAGAUUUGAAUAUUUUAUAAUUUUAUUUUUCUAGUAUUAAGGUAAAGACCAAUAUACCCUCAUGUGCUUCUCACAUGACCUGAUUUAACUAGGAAAACAAACAAGGUUUAGGGUAAAGGACAUAACCUGAUUGGUUUUUCAAACAUUAAGGAUGUUUUCUGAGGUUAUUAAAGAUAAAGGACAUACUUUGAUAUAUUAGACAUACAUAAAGGACGAACUUUGAACUUUACUCUUGUUUAAAUAUUCAACCACUUAAUUUCCAUCAGUGUGUGCUUGUUUGUUUACUUGUUUCUUUAUUAUUU